rnacentral:rRNA from 1 species
GACGAACGCUGGCGGCGUGCUUAACACAUGCAAGUCGAACGGAAAGGCCCUGCUUUUGUGGGGUGCUCGAGUGGCGAACGGGUGAGUCACACGUGAGUAACCUGCCCUUUACUUUGGGAUAACUUCACGUAACUGGGGCUACUACCGGAUAGGAGCUCCUGCUGCAUGGUGGGGGUUGGAAAGUUUAGGCGGUUGGGGAUGGAAUCGCGGCUUAUCAGCUUGUUGGUGGGGUAGUGGCUUACCAAGGCUUCGACGGGUAGCCGGCCUGAGAGGGUGACCGGCCACACUGGAACUGAGAUACGGCCCAGACUCAUACGGGAGGCAGCAGUGGGGAAUAUUGCACAAUGGGAGGAAGCCAGAUGCAGCAACGCCGCGUGCGGGAAGACGGCAUUCGGGUUGGAAACCGCUUUCGCCUGUGACGAAGCGUGAGUGACGGUAAUGGGUAAAGAAGCACCGGCUAACUACGUG